GACUUCGUAGCUCAGCUGGUAGGGCGCUUACCACGUUGAGGCAUGCCUUCACUGUCGCUGGUUCGAAUCCAGCCGAAGUCC
rnacentral:tRNA from 1 species